GAGCGCUAGCGGCAGGCUUAACACAUGCAAGUCGAGGGGCAGCAUGACGGAACUUCGGGUUUUGUUGAUGGCGACCGGCGCAAGGGUGCGUAACGCGUGAGCAACUUGCCCGUUUCUGGGGAAUAACCGUUGGAAACGACGACUAAUACCCCAUGGUAUCAGGUUUAGGCAUCUUUAUCUGAUUAAAGAAUUUCGGAAACGGAUAGGCUCGCGUGACAUUAGCUAGAUGGCGGGGUAACGGCCCACCAUGGCGACGAUGUCUAGGGGUUCUGAGAGGAAGGUCCCCCACACUGGAACUGAGACACGGUCCAGACUCCUACGGGAGGCAGCAGUGAGGAAUAUUGGUCAAUGGACGCAAGUCUGAACCAGCCAAGUAGCGUGAAGGAUGACUGCCCUAUGGGUUGUAAACUUCUUUGCCGUAGAACAAACAUGCCACGUGUGGCAUUUUGCGUGUAUACGUUGAAUAAGCAUCGGCUAACUCCGUG
rnacentral:rRNA from 1 species